CCCUUAGAUGUUCUGGGCCGCACGCGCGCUACACUGACGAAUGCAACGAGCUUAUAACCUUGGCCGAAAGGUCUGGGUAAUCUCCAAAUUUCGUCGUGAUGGGGAUAGAUUAUUGCAAUUAUUAAUCUUCAACGAGGAAUGCCGAGUAAGCGCAAGUCAUCAGCUUGCGUUGAUUACGUCCCUGCCCUUUGUACACACCGCCCGUCGCUCCUACCGAUUGAAUGGUCCGGUGAAGCGUUCGGACCGUGGCCUUUGGACGGUUCGCCGUCUGUUGGCUGCGGGAAGUUCGUUAAACCUUAUCAUUUAGAGGAAGGAGAAGUCGUAACA
rnacentral:rRNA from 1 species